rnacentral:rRNA from 1 species
CUAGCGGCGGACGGGUGAGUAAUGCUUAGGAAUCUGCCUGUUAGUGGGGGAUAACGUUCCGAAACGAACGCUAAUACCGCAUACGCCCUACGGGAGAAAGCAGGGGAUCUUCGGACCUUGCGCUAUUAGAUGAGCCUAUGUCGGAUUAGCUAGUUGGUGGGGUAAUGGCUCACCAAGGCGACGAUCCGUAACUGGUCUGAGAGGAUGAUCCGCCACACUGGAACUGAGACACGGCCCAGACUCCUACGGGAGGCAGCAGUGGGGAAUAUUGGACAAUGGGCGAAAGCCUGAUCCAGCCAUGCCGCGUGUGUGAAGAAGGCCUUCUGGUUGUAAAGCACUUUAAGUUGGGAGGAAGGGACUUUAAUUAAUACUCUAUUAUUUUGAACGUUCCUCGCAAAAUAGCCACCGGUUACCUCUGGGCCACCACCCCCGUAAUUCCAAAGGGGGCAAGCUUUAUUCGAAUUUCUGGGCCGUAAAGCGUGCUUAGUGGGUUGUUUAAUUGGAAGGUAAAAUCCCUGACUCUAACUGAGAACUUGCAUUCAAUCCUGGUGACUUAAAGUAGGUAAAAGGAGGUGAAAUUUCCUGGUGAACCGUGUAAAUUGCGAAAUGAACUA